GGAUUAGAUACCCUGGUAGUCCACGCCGUAAACGAUGGUCACUAGCUGUUUGGACUUCGGUCUGAGUGGCUAAGCGAAAGUGAUAAGUGACCCACCUGGGGAGUACGUUCGCAAGAAUGAAACUCAAAGGAAUUGACGGGGGCCCGCACAAGCGGUGGAGCAUGUGGUUUAAUUCGAUGAUACGCGAGGAACCUUACCAGGGCUUAAAUGUGGAAUGACAGGUCUAGAGACAGACUUUUCUUCGGACAUUUCACAAGGUGCUGCAUGGUUGUCGUCAGCUCGUGCCG
rnacentral:rRNA from 1 species